rnacentral:lncRNA from 7 species
UUGUUUUUAUUUUUCUAGAGAUAAAACUACUUAUCUAAAGCAGAUAAAUGUAUUUUCAUGGGGCCUAAAUAUUUUAUUUGGGUUUGGAGUAUCAGAAUCUAUCUUCAUGUUUUUAGAUUUUUUUUAAAGUGUAGAGACAUUUUCUAUGGUUUAAAAACCUUUUAUCAACUAUUUACUGUUUUUUGACAAAAAAGUACAAAACCAAAUUUAAAACCACCCCAAACCAGAGAGAUAAUUUGAAUGGUUUCAAGAGUAUCGAGUGG